ACUCAAAUGAAUUGACGGGGGAGCGCACAACCGGUGGAGCAUGUUGUUUAAUUCGAUACGAAGCGAAAAACCUUACCCAGAUUUGACAUGUAUCUGCACUCCUGCAGAAAUGCAGGAUUCUUCGAGAGUGAUACACAGGUGAUGCAUGGCUGUCGUCAGCUCGUGUCGUGAGACGUCCGCUUAAGUGCGGUAACGAGCGCAACCCUUAUCCUGUGUUGCAUUUCACAGGAAACAGCCCCGCUUAUGGCGGGGAGGAAGGAGAGGAUGACGUCAAGUCAGCACGUCCCUUACAUCUGGGGCCACAAACAUCCUACAAUGGAGCCGACAACAGGUUGCAAAGAGGUAACUCUGAGCCAAUCCUUAAACGGCCCCUCAGUUCAGAUUGAGGGCUGCAAUUCGCCCUCAUGAAGUCGGAAUCGGUAGUAAUCGCAAAUCAGCAGGUUGCGGUGAAUACGUUCUCGCUCCUUGUACACACCGCCCGU
rnacentral:rRNA from 1 species